rnacentral:rRNA from 1 species
AACGAACGCUGGCGGCAGGCCUAAAACAUGCAAGUCGAACGCCCUAGCAAUAGGGAGUGGCGCACGGGUGAGUAACGCGUGGGAACGUGCCCUUCAGUACGGAACAACGUCGGGAAACUGACGCUAAUACCGUAUAAUAUCUCCGGAUCAAAGAUUUAUCGCUGAAGGAUCGGCCCGCGUCUGAUUAGCUAGUUGGUGAGGUAAUGGCUCACCAAGGCUACGAUCAGUAGCUGGUCUGAGAGGAUGAUCAGCCACACUGGGACUGAGACACGGCCCAGACGCCUACGGGAGGCAGCAGUUAGGAAGAUUGGACAAUGGGCGAAAGCCUGAUCCAGCCAUGCCGCGUGUGUGAUGAAGGCCUUAGGGUUGUAAAGCACUUUCGUUGGGGAUGAUAAUGACCGUACCCAAAGAAGAAGCCACGGCUAAAUUCGUGCCAGCAGCCGCCGUAA